ensembl:lincRNA
AGGCGGCAAUCCUGUGAGCAACCAAUGGAGUUGGAUAGGAUUGGGAAGAAGAAAGACGAGUGGAUCCUGGAGACUCUCCGCCCCUGACGCGGACAGUUCCCGACACUGUCCCCAUCUCUGGCGUCCUGCAGUGGAAGUUUCCGUGCUAUUAGAUCCACCAGUCCGAGUGGUUUUUUUGCAUUGUCAUAGCUCCAUUUCCUGAUGAGUUGACAAUACAGAAACCUACUUUGUAUAAGGCCCGUUUUGAUGUAGGUCUGCUAUUGGCAAAGGACUUCCAGAAAGUAAAAUCUACACAGGGUAAGAAUCACUAUAUGUUUAAGAUCCAUCCAUGCAGCCAUGCACUCAGAGGCGAGCUGGUCCUAGUGCGUAGAAAACCCCGCUGCGGAGUCUUAGCUGUCUGCCACACCUCCAGACGUCCUUUGAGAUCCGGUGCAGAGCACAGAGGAGUCACAUCUCUGUCGCGUGCCUGCGAGUCUCUCGAUGCCCCGGAUGACUUCUGCCAAAGAGCAGCCGCGUGCCCUGUGAGCUCCCAAGGAGCACGAACUCAGUCUGCAAGUCCCACGGACGACCAGCCUGUGGUCUGCGUGUCUCAGAAGAGACUGUUUUUCUUUCUCUACUCAGAACCAAGCUUCCCUGGCCUCCCUGGGUUUGGGGGAAAUUUAUCAACAGUUCCCCCUUGUGCUGAGAUUCCUGAAUUUAGUGAAAAAAGCUGUCUUAGCGGGCGCUUUCUCUCGGGGACAGGGAAGGGGGACUGACGGUCACCUGUCCAGGUAGUCAGAGCCCUCAGCACGGUCUCUGGCGGCUGCCAAUCGAGCACUUGGCUUCUUUCCUAAAAUCCUGCUCACGUUUCCUCUUUGGUCCCUAAUGAUGUCUUCCUAACUUGCUAUGUGUUUACGAAUUUUAAAAGUUACGUUAAAUAUCUUUUUUUUUUUUUAGGAUUUUACUUAUAUUUAGCAGUAAAAUUAGUUGUCUACUUGAUCUCGCUUCACUAAUGUCAUCUGCCUACCUAUGGAAAAGGUUUACAGAUCUUUAGCGUUUUCAUCUAAAAGCUAAGCGUCUCCACGCCCGGCAGCAGUCUUCUGCUCUAAACCGCGAGAUGUCACCUUUCCAUCUUCGACGCUUUCUGUUUGUCACUCCCAGUGGCUUUUCUCUCACGGUGUCCUUCCGAUGACACUCAGCCCCGCAGGUGUGCACCUGCACCAGGCUGGCUCCCUCAUCCACCACAGCUGCAUGAAUCCUCCUCUGCCUCCUCUGGGGACCGGAGCCAGCCCCCCUCACUCCACGGAGCCCCCUCUGCCACUCAGAGCCACGCGGAACCCACAGCCCUGCAAUCAUCGCUGCCGCCGACUCAAGCGAUUGGCACAUUGACUGUCACCCUGGAGGGGAAAAAUGUGUUCCUUGGGGCAACGGUGUUUUAUUAGGAAAAUAGAAUCAAAACUUCAAAAACAAAACGAUCCUUUCUAAUUCAACGAAAUUUAUUGUUUUUUUAUCGUUUUCUGUGCGUGAGUUAUAUCCGCCGCAAUCCACGUUUUUUUAGAAUUACAUUGUCAGUAUUAAUUGUAACCAUAAGAACAUCGACAAGUAAGAUUUGCACCAACCAGCUUCAGGGUUUUGCUUCAGGAGGCCCCAGGCUCAAAACUGGCGUGAGUUAAAUACAACUCACGUGGCAGUCGAUGUGUUAAACUUCCUCC